UACGGAGGGUGCAAGCGUUAAUCGGAAUUACUGGGCGUAAAGCGCACGCAGGCGGUUGGAUAAGUUAGAUGUUAAAGCCCCGGGCUCAACCUGGGAAUUGCAUUUAAAACUGACCAGCUAGAGUCUUGUAGAGGGGGGUAGAAUUCCAGGUGUAGCGGUGAAAUGUGUAGAGAUCUGGAGGAAUACCGGUGGCGAAGGCGGCCCCCUGGACAAAGACUGACGCUCAGGUGCGAAAGCGUGGGGAGCAAACAGG
rnacentral:rRNA from 1 species